rnacentral:rRNA from 1 species
GACGAACGCUGGCGGCGUGCUUAACACAUGCAAGUCGAACGGAAAGGCCCUGCUUUUGUGGGGUGCUCGAGUGGCGAACGGGUGAGUAACACGUGAGUAACCUGCCCUUGACUUUGGGAUAACUUCAGGAAACUGGGGCUAAUACCGGAUAGGAGCUCCUGCUGCAUGGUGGGGGUUGGAAAGUUUCGGCGGUUGGGGAUGGACUCGCGGCUUAUCAGCUUGUUGGUGGGGUAGUGGCUUACCAAGGCUUUGACGGGUAGCCGGCCUGAGAGGGUGACCGGCCACCUUGGGCCUGGGGUACGGCCCAGACUCCUACGGGAGGCAGCGGUGGGGAAUAUUGCACAAUGGGCGGAAGCCUGAUGCAGCAGCGCCGCGUGCGGGAUGACGGCCUUCGGGUUGUAAACCGCUUUCGCCUGUGACGAAGCGUGAGUGACGGUAAUGGGUAAAGAAGCACCGGCUAACUACGUG